UCGCCGUAAGGAUCGCGAUGGUAUCGAGGAUACCGAGUUGUUGGAUAUUCGUGAUGUUGUGCGAGAGUCGUGGGUAAAGAUCAAGCUCCUUGUGGUCAUUUACUGAUCGCUACGGUAUUGUUUAUACCAAGCUUGAUUUGAUCCUGAGAUGAUCGUGUGAUGUCCGAGGUUGGUAAGUGAUGCAUGUGUUGGUUACGAGGUAACCCGAGCAGAAUAAGUAGUGCAUGAUAGUGUCAUCAUGUUGCAUGCUAGUAUUGUCGGAUUAAUAUGUUCAUGUUGUGUUAGCUGUAUCAUGUUUAUGUCGGUCAUGCCAUGUUAUUCUGAUGAUCUCAUGAUAAUUCCUGUUUAACUUGUAAUUGCCAUGCUGUUGUCUGUCUUGAAUGCUUCUGGUUAUUGUGAGCUUGCAAGUACAUUCAAUGUACUGACCUGGCGUGUCAUGCCAGUUUGCAGGUCAUGCCGGAUUUGAUUGCUUGCUUGUCGUUGUUCCCGUUCGUGCGAGCUAGGAUAAUCGUUCCAGCCAGAGUCCCUGCGGAGUGGAGUUCACCACCGUCGUCGUUGUUCCGCUGCUAGAGUUAUUCCGCUGCUUUAAGUUGUUCUGCUGCUUGCAUAGAGCAACUGAGGAUGGCGUAGUAUCGCCGUGCCGAUGUUAUUCAUUGUAAUAUCGGAGACCUUGUAUUCAUUUUCGUGUAAUAAUAGAGAGCUGGUUUGUUCUAUGCUAAGCAGUGACGUAUUCCAGAAGACUUCUCCUCGAUCUCUGGGCUGGAAUACGGGGCGUUCUGGUUUUCUCUGAGCCGGGGUGCCACAGCGCUUGGUAUCAGAGCAGGUCUAGCUAUAGGACGCCCUAGACCGCGCGAAUGUUAGAAAGCGGUAGUAUAGACCCAAGUUUGUUUGUUGCACUUGAUUGCUGCAUUUGUUUGCUGCAUAGCAUGCAUAUAGCCUUAGUAUUUGUACUAACGGUUUAUCUGGUGAGUGUAGCUGGCAUCGGUUCGGAUCCACUACAGCUCAACCUUUGCAUUUCUCCAGUUCCUUUUUCUUUUGGUGUUUGGUGUUAUUUCUGUCCCAGCAGAGUGAUGCCAAGUGAUCCCGACACUGUUUGCAAAAAUGGUGCUCAGUUAUCGCACCGAUGUCUUUCCUUCAGUCCCGUCUAUCAUUUUGGUGAUGAACAUGCAUCUAUCCCAGAUCGUUCUUCUAUUUUGUCGUGUUGGCAACCCUUAAUGAUCUUAGUUAUCAAGAAAGGGCAAUGUCAGCAGCCUCAGUUUUUGCCCGCUAUCCUAUUUCUUGGACGAGUACGGAUCUUUUUCCGUCUGCUUGAUAAUAAUGUGGUUGCGACCUUCGUGUCCCACUGCAUGAUUACCGAGUACGUCCUCGCCUCCGAGCUAGUUCAGGUUGCCCCUGGCUAAGCCAACACUUGGUGUAGCGCUGCUUACACCAAAUCUUCCACACAUUUAUUCGUCCUCGUGCACAUCGUCACAGCAUAUUAGAUCGUAGUACCGGAGAUUCCGCGAAAUUUGUGUGCUUAAGUAGGCAUGCAUAUUGUGUGACUAGCAGUAAUAUGUGAUGCUUGCUCGAUUAAUUAUACUAGUAGAAUGCUUGUGUGCUUUUGUUUUAGUCAUUUCUGUUGUUCCUUUCUUUGGGCCUUCGGUGUUACAAUUUUUUCCCCUAUUAAAGUUGCUCGUCAGCCGACACUGGACCCGAAGAGUCAGUAAGAAAUGCAUAUAUUUGGAAAGUCAGCUAAACAGAAUGGAAUUAUCAGCUGACUGCAGUGAAAUUGGGAAUAGCUUGUCUGGAUGCAAAAGAAAUCCUGGAUGGGCCGUCAGUAUCAAGUUUGCAUUAGCUUGCACUCAUCACAACAAAAUGAUUAAAUCAGCAAGAAGAUAAAUUGUGUGCAAGGUUGACAGAAUAUUAUCAAAGGUAUGGCUCAGAUACACGUUUAAUUUUCGUUGAGGAUGAUUUUGGAACUCGAUGUACCUGGAAGCAAACAAAAAUAUGGCAUAUACUCAAAAAGAAGGAUAGUCCAGUAAAACCCUGUUUCAUACAAGAAAUCAACAUCAGAAAUAUUAAGAUGGUAUGUAUAUGUGGUACUCGGUCCGCAUAUCACAAUAAGAAGUUUCUGGUGUAAGCAACCCACUUUUCCCUCGCAAGAUACCGGAGAAGCUUCCAAGGCAAGAUUCAUCUAUCUUCCUCAGUACGAUACAUGGAUGACUUCUCGCGCAAGGUACUCUGCCUUCUUCGGUAAGCAACCGCAAAAGCUUCCAGCAUAAGGUACUGAGUCUUUCCCCAGCGAAGUCUUUAAGGGGGUAAGCUUUUGAAGCACGAUACCCAGUCUUCUUCAGCAAGCUGUCCGAUGAAAGUUUCGAGCUCAAGCCAGCAAAUAUUCCUCAGUAAGACAUUGGUACAAGGUAGUACGCUGUGAAUUGACAGCAUAUGGCAGUGAAUCCUAAGAAUCAGAUCCGCAUCAUUUUGGUCAGAAUCAAGAAUCAGUCAGAAUACACGUCUGUCUCGGAAUCAGAUUCUCAUAUAUAUGCGGUGAGCAUACCACCGAGAUCUUACAAGUCACUCGGAGGAGGAUCUGAUAACCACGUGACGAUGAUUAAGAGAAGAAAGCCAGUAUACACCACAGUGUGACAAAGGAUUAUAAGGAUUGACGACAUCAAUGAGCUCAAUACAAGUAUCCGUGAACCUGGAAAAUGAUCCUGAUGAGCCUUUGUCCCCUUUUUCUCCAACGACGGCACCACGCCUGUGAUCUGAGCUGUUUCUACCUAUCCGGGGCGGAUGCGGAUUUUUUUAUUUCUCUCUUUCACGACUGUCACGAGUUCUGAGCUGCUUUUCGACCGUUUCGUACAGCUGUGAGUUUCUUUUUGUGACAGUGGCCCUAUAGCUGCUUUUUGGCUAUUCUAGGGAGCUGCCACCUUCUUCUUAUCGACCCGGUCUCAUGCUCUGAGCUGUUUUUUCGGCUGUCCUGAGCCGUGGUUGAGUUAUGUCAGUAAUGUCCCAGAUCUGAGUGGUAAAGACAGUUCUGGUGGCUACUGAUUUAUUUGCCGAUUUCUUGCAAGGGUUUCGGAUGAUCAUUUCCCAACGAUCAGAACUUGAGAGGUGUUGAACCUGCCAUUUAAUGGGUUACCCUGUCAGAAAAAUGAGGAUAAGCUAUGAUUGCCGAAAAAUUGCACCGACAGUACCUAUGGUCAUACAAAGAAACAAUAUGGCCCAGCUCUUUCAUCCAAAGAUCCAGACCAAGAAAACAAAAAUGAAGGAGCAAGACCAGCGAUGCAGGUAUGAAAAUUGUACACGACCCCCAUGGUGCAGAUCCCCUGGACAGUCUAAGUCAGUGUUGAUCCACAUGGAUAUGCCUACAGCAUGAGUAAUCGGCAUGAGGAAUCACAGUCUGGAAGCCUGAGUCCUCACCUAUAUGAAUGAUCAUGGAUAGCCCGUCGUGAACAAAAAAAUUUCCAUCAGAAACACCGUCAGUCAAGUCUGCAGAUAUUAUCAUAUAGGCCAAACCCUUUAUGCUGGCCGCGACAGGAGACAAUCAAAUAUUUGGUACGGAUCCGAUACUCACGACAAUGGAACCAGUUCAGAAACUUCUGCGAUGAGUCAGAAUCUGUCAGGAAACGGUUAUAUUUUAACUCACUGUUUGGAACCCAAAGGACCUGCAUUUAGUGGAGAAACCCAAUGCAAUGAGUCAGAGCUUGAGUUUUCAUCAUAAAAUUCUGAUCAUCAUUACAUGAAAGGUUGUCAGUGCCGGGUGACACACCCAGCGGAAAUCACUUUUGGAUUUGUGAGACGGACAUAUAUUUCAGUUGUGAAAAUUAAUCACAGUCAGCUAGUCAGCAGAUCUAAAAAGAAAUUGGAGCCUAUAUAAGCAUGAGCAAGCCAGGUAAGAUCUGUCAGAAUGUGGAUACAGUAAAGCAAACCACCCAGGGCCAGUAAGAUAAAAAAAUUAGUGGGAACAAAAAUAAGAAAAAAGAUACCCGAGUUGGAAACGGUUUCCUUAAGUCAGAAUAUUCAUACUUGUUCCCUGAGCAACCAAAUCUCGAGGACGAGAUUUCUUUAAGGGGGUAAGGUUUGUGACAGCCUGAUUUUUGGCCCUUUCUUUUUCUUUUGUUUUUCUGAGGUUUUUGCCUGAGUUUUCUUUUUCCGUGGCUUUGUGGUCUGGAAACUGAAGAAGAUGCCCUCUUCUUUGCUUCCAGAGUGGCUUGUCAUUCCCAAAUCUUUCCCUGGACCCUGUCAUUUCCAUCCUAGCCCAAGUCCCAAUAAUCUUUUUAUUGGGAAUAUUCCUUUUCUAUUGAAGGAAUAACUCCAAUUGCCCUAGGUUGUGAAGCAACCUAUAUUUCCCUCACUCCUAAAAUUCCCAAAUAAUUCUUAUAAAUCGUUUGGGUCAUAUCUUGAUCAAAUAUGGCAAAACUUUUCAUUGCCAUGUUCAAAAAUAAUCCUCCAAUAAUCCAUUUACUAUUCUGCCCCAAAUGGCACAUUGUGAAGCAAGUGCCAUUUUCCUUUGCCCAAUUGACCUCAAACUCCUUGGACAUCUUUUCAUGUCCAUAUCAUUGCCCCAUGCCAAAAUUCAACCUCAUUUGCCUAGUAAUUAUUGAAUUAUGAUUUUCCAAAGUUUCUGUCCAGAAAGAAGCUUUGUGAAGGAGGUACAAGCUAGGCAUAUCAAAAUGAGUUGAAAUUUUGCAUGAUCCUCCAUAUAAUCAUAUAAUAGCCUUAAAACAAAGUAGAGCUCAUAUCAUGCCUCCAUGUGAGCUCAUCUUCAAAUCUUUGUUUCUGCCCAAAAGUUCAGUUUGUGAAGCAAGUAUAUUUUAUCUUGCUCCAUUAUGGCUGCCAAAUUUUAUAGGCCUUAUAUUGUCCAUAUAACCUCCCUCGACCAAUUUGUGGCUCAAUACCUUUGACAAUUUGCCCUGUGGAAUACUUCCAAUUUCUGGUCAGAAUAAAUCUUUCUGAAGCAAGUGCUAUUUUGGUUCAUCCAAAUGGCAUGAAACUCCUUGGGCAUCUGUAUAUCUUCAAAUCAUUGGGCCAUAACCAAUUUGAGCUCAAGUUGAUGCUUCAUCAGAGUGCAUCAUCCUAAUCUAGUUUCUGGACCAGUUUAUGUGGUUGUUAAGCAACUACAUUAAAUCUUGAUCCUAAUCCACUCCAAGCUAUCAGGGUGAAAGUACUUCUUUACCUCAACCUCGCAGACAACUCCAUUGGAUCCAAAACCCUUCCUGUUGAUCACUAGUGCUCACCCAAGUUUACAGCAGUAAACUUCAGAGGGUUCUUACCGUUUAACCAGAUCACUUUUAACCGAGCUACCACCGUAGUUGAGACCUACCCUUGAGAAACUUACCACUAGACAACGUUUUCCAGCUGUUUGCCUCCCCCUCAUGCCAGCACUGGUGGUGACCACCGUUUUGGCAUGCCAUGAGCGCGCCCAGAAUGGCCUCUUGCUCGGGCCCCUCCUUCUCUCGUCGUCUUCGCGCUCGUGAGCGUGUCUACCAUUUGGCCUGCGUCGUCGCCGUCCUGCUGGACCUCUCUCCCCCUCCGUCCGCUUCCUCGUCAGCGCUCGUCGCCGCGCGCCCACGGGUGAGCAGUGCCGACCGAGCUUUAAUGGCGCCGUGGCCGUUUCCCCUCUGCGCCCUCGGCCCCUCCUGCCCUGUGCAUAGUUGUAGCUCGUCCGCACCCCCCUCUCGUCGCGAUCCCGCGCCCUCCCGUGAUCGCUGGCCGUCGCCAGAGCCUCGGCCGGACGUGCCCGGCGGCACCCGAGCCCAUCCCUCUCGCCCGGCUAUAUAUAGCCAUCCCCCGAGCCCUCCGAGCUCACCUCUCGCCUCCCAUCACUCCCAGGACCCCGCCCCACUUCUUCCCCGAGCCGGAGCUGCUCUCCUCGCCUCCCUAUGCAACCAUGGCCGCCGCCUCGGCUCGGCUAAAUUAGCCCGACACCGAGCCUCCCCCUCCGUUCGUCCACCACCACUGGAUUCCCCACUCGCCAGUGAUCCUCCCCAGCCCCUUAUCUAGUCUCCGGAGUAGCUGUGGCUGUCGUCCCCAAGAUCAGCCGCCGCCACCGCGUCCUCUGUUGCCCCAAGCCGCGGCUGCCCUAGUCAUCCCCGGCGCUCCCUUCACUGCGGGAUGGACGCGGCGCCUCCUCCCGAGCCCACCGGUGGCUGCGUCCUCGCCGGAGCCGGCCGGAGCCGGCCGGCCCGUCGCCGGUGACGCGCCCUCCCCUGCCUCCUCUGUCCCGUGCGGGAGCAGGACGAGGAAGAAGAAGACAGAGGCCAGGCGGGCCCUCUUCUCCUCGCGGGCCCCGCGUGGCAGCCUCAGCCCGUUGACCUGGUCUGACCACGUGGAUAAGUGACGGGCCCCACCCCGUGGGACCCGCACACGUCAGCCCCGCCACUGUUCCAAAGGAUAAGGUGAAAGCGUAUUUUUCCAGAUUACCUUUUCACUUUUUCUGUUCAGGCCCCUGGUUGAAAAGAUUUUCAUUACAGAUGGGUCCCUGGCAGAAAAACAUCCAUAUCUUUUUAUCCGUAACUCCGUUUAAGGUGAAAACAACGCUCACUUCUUCGUCUCAUCGAGCCCGUUCUGUUGGUUUCAUUUUCACUAUGGUUUGACACAGUGAAAAUGACCUUUUUGCCCUUGCCCUUAUUCAGCCCUCUCCGAGAGAGAAAGUUUUUCGGCGAUUCGUUCCGCGAGUUUCUCGCACUUUCUCCCGGUGAUUUCUUCCACCCCAGGCAAGCCACAAUACCCACUUGCAUGAUAGUCAUGCAGUAGCCAUGGUUUUCAACUUGAAUAUUUAUUAAAUGUUUGCUUGUUUAAAAUAUGGUUAUCGUUGUUUCGGUAAUGCUUCUGGACUAGUGCUUACUUUCUUGCUAUGUUGUUAUGCACCUGGUUGUCAUGCCCGGCUAGUUGCUAGUAUUCCUUUCAUAUUGCCAUGCUUGAUAGUAGUAUAUGCUGAUGAUGGUGAUGGUCUUCGGUGCAUGACUGUCGUCUGUCCCGAGUACCGUCGUUAUGCAUGUCCCUUUACAUCCAGUUGGUUAAAUGCUUGCAUGAUGGCAUCGUUGAUAUGUUCUUGCAUGACAUUUAUUGUUGAUGCUAGUGGUCAUGCUAUGUUUCGGAGAAGUAUGUACUGGUGAUGUUCAUGCUAGUCAGUACGCCAUGCCCAAUGGAUAUGAUUCAUUGUUGAUAUGGUGGACAGUUAUGAGAUACCCUCAUGAUUGUGUUGAUAUCAUGUUCAUGCAUUUUUAUCAUGACUCAGCAUAUUUGCAUUCAAUUUAACCGGAUUAAAUUGAACUUGAACAACUGUUGGCUGAGUCAUUGUGCCGCUGAAUCGAUGCUGACCAGUGCAACCACGCUUACUGGUAUGGGACGGUCCUAACUGGGUCUAUUGUUGUGCCUCUCGCCGGUGCCUCCAACGAGGGAAGGUUAUGGGCGCGCGCUACCCUGAUCAGGUAGGCGGACAUAACCUUGUGUGCCCGUUGUUGAGUUUGAGUUUUUGGAUCCGUGUCCCCGUGUGGGACGGGCCACGACGGUGGUCGUUGUGUCUUUGGUAGACACGGGGCCACCCAUGACUUAGCCCAGAGGGGAGUGAGUCGGAGUGGCUGGGAGAGUGUCAUGACAGUAGAUCGGUUUUGUCGGAACGCCGUUGGUCCGCCCGAAUGGGAGUGCGAGGCCAUGGGUUCCGUAGUGUGGGUACAGUAUACUAACCUCUGCAGAGUGUAUAUUAAAUCUAUCGAUAGCCGCGCCCGCGGAUAAGGGCCCAGGUCGAAAGUAGGGUACACCAUGAGUCAACAGUAAUAAGAAUAACUUGAUUAAUGACAACCCGUGGUUGUGGUCGGCGUAAGGAUCGCGAUGGUAUCGAGGAUACCGAGUUGUUGGAUAUUCGUGAUGUUGUGCGAGAGUCGUGGGUAAAGAUCAAGCUCCUUGUGGUCAUUUACUGAUCGCUACGGUAUUGUUUAUACCAAGCUUGAUUUGAUCCUGAGAUGAUCGUGUGAUGUCCGAGGUUGGUAAGUGAUGCAUGUGUUGGUUACGAGGUAACCCGAGCAGAAUAAGUAGUGCAUGAUAGUGUCAUCAUGUUGCAUGCUAGUAUUGUCGGAUUAAUAUGUUCAUGUUGUGUUAGCUGUAUCAUGUUUAUGUCGGUGAUGCCAUGUUAUUCUGAUGAUCUCAUGAUAAUUCCUGUUUAACUUGUAAUUGCCAUGCUGUUGUCUGUCUUGAAUGCUUCUGGUUAUUGUGAGCUUGCAAGUACAUUCAAUGUACUGACCUGACAUGUCAUGCCAGUUUGCAGGUCAUGCCGGAUUUGAUUGCUUGCUUGUCGUGGUUCCCGUUCGUGCGAGCUAGGAUAAUCGUUCCAGCCAGAGUCCCUGCGGAGUGGAGUUCACCACCGUCGCCGUUGUUCCGCUGCUAGAGUUAUUCGCUGCUUCGAGUUGUUCUGCUGCUUGCAUACAGCAACUGAGGAUGGCAUAGUGUCGCCGUGCCGAUGUUAUUCAUUGUAAUAUCGGAGACCUUGUAUUCAUUUUCGUGUAAUAAUAGGGAGCUGGUUUGUUCUAUGCUAAGCAGUGCCGUAUUCCAGAAGACUUCUCCUUGAUUUCUGGGCUGGAAUACGGGGCGUUCCGGUUUUCUCUGAGCCGGGGUGCCACAUAAACCCUAGAAGCUAGCCUAUGAUUCUGAUUGUUGUUGGUCCUACGGACUAAACCCUCCGGUUUAUAUAGACACCGGAGGGGGCUAGGGUUACACAGAGUCGGUUACAGAGAAGGAGAUCAACAUA
rnacentral:lncRNA from 1 species